UCUGCUUCAACACACACCAUGAUCUCUACAUCCCUACUGCUGCUGCUGCUGGCAGCCGUACACUGUGUUCACUGUGUUGAGCUGAUCCAGCCCGGAUCCACAGUAUUAACCCCUGGUCAGUCAAUGACUCUGACCUGUAAAGUGUCUGGAUAUUCAUUAACUGAUAGCAGCUACUGUACCGGCUGGAUACGACAACCUGCAGGAAAAGCUCUGGAGUGGGUCGCAUUAGCAUGUGGUAGUGGUAGCACUUACCACAGUGAGAAACUGAAAAGCAGGUUUCAGGUUUCGAGAGACACAUCCAGCAGCACAGUAACAUUAACGGGGCAGAACAUGCAGACUGAAGACACAGCUGUGUAUUACUGCGCUCGUUACCACAGUGAGACAGAUCAACAACAUCCCUGUACAAAAACACCCAGUGCAGAAAACUCACCAGUACAUACUGUGUUCACUGACACUUUUUCAUGAAUAGUGU